UACGAAGGGGGCUAGCGUUGCUCGGAAUUACUGGGCGUAAAGGGCGCGUAGGCGGACAGUUUAGUCAGAGGUGAAAGCCCAGGGCUCAACCUUGGAAUUGCCUUUGAUACUGGCUGUCUUGAGUUCGGGAGAGGUGAGUGGAAUGCCGAGUGUAGAGGUGAAAUUCGUAGAUAUUCGCAAGAACACCAGUGGCGAAGGCGGCUCACUGGUCCGGUACUGACGCUGAGGUGCGAAAGCGUGGGGAGCAAACAGGG
rnacentral:rRNA from 1 species